rnacentral:rRNA from 1 species
AUGUCGUCUCUUGCCUUCCGCUGCGGGCUGGAGUGGGAGCUCGGCUGGCUCGGGGGCCUCUUCACGGCCGCGGAGCUGGUGGCCGCCGACCUUCUCCUGCAGCUCCGCAUGCACUACGAGGCGGCCACGGCGGCGUCUACGGCCACAACCUCCUCCUCUCCCUCGAGGCGCUCGGCGAGCUCGUGCUGCGAGGACCUCGCCGUGGUUGUUGAAGAGAAGAAGGGGAUCGUCGAGGAGACAGUGCCCUUGUUGUUGCGGUCGCUGGACAAGCGGGCGAGGAGGAGGUCGGCGAGUUCGUGCUUCAAGGACCUCACCGUGGUCGGCGAGGAGGAGCUGGAGCCUCCGCGGAUCGCCAAGGAGACGGCGCCGUCACCGGGGUCGGCGGAGCUGGACAGGAGGGCGAGGAAGAGGUACCGCCAGCUGUCGGAGCUCUACGCCACCACGGGACCAGUGAAGGCCGCCGCUCCUGCCGCAAAGAAGAAGAGGAAGAGACACCACGACGACGAGGAAUUUGCCGUGAGCCAGGGCAUGGGCACUCAGCAAAGACUUUGCCAAGAGCCAAACAGUAUAAUUCGGCAAAAUAAAGUGACUUCCACGUCGGUUGGUUCCAUCAGCUGUUUGCCGAGAGUGGCUUUUGGCAAAGAUGCCACAGCCAACAGCUGGCGCAUGCCACUUUGCAGAGAGUGGCUCUCGGCAAAGCCGCCACAGCCAACUGCCAGCGUGCCACUUUGCCAAGAGCAGCUCUCGGCAAAGAUCCGUUCCUAG